rnacentral:rRNA from 1 species
CCUACGGGAGGCAGCAGUGAGGAAUAUUGGUCAAUGGCCGUAAGGCUGAACCAGCCAAGUCGCGUGAGGGACGACGGCCCUAUGGGUUGUAAACCUCUUUUAUGCGGGGAUAAAGGUUUCCACGGGUGGAUGUUUGCAGGUACCGCAUGAAUAAGGACCGGCUUACUCCGUGCCAGCAGCCGCGGUAAUACGGGGGAUGCGAUCGUUAUCCGGAUUUAUUGGGGUUAAAGGGAUCGUAGGUGGGAUGUUAAGUGAGUUGUGAAAGUUUGGGGCUCAACCGGAGAAUUGCAUUUGAUACUGGCAGUCUUGAGUACGGUAGAGGUAGGCGGAAUGCGUGGUGUAGCGGUGAAAUGCUUAGAUAUCACGAAGAACACCGAUGGCGAAGGCAGCAUAC